UUGUAGUCUGCCCAGACUGCACAGACUGGGGGAUUUAACAAAAGAAAUUUAUUUUCUCAAGAUCAAGGUUCUAGCCAACUCACUUUCUGGGGAAGGCUCUCUUUCUCAGUUGCAGAUGGCUGCCUUAUCACUAUGUCAUGUGGCCUUUCUUCAGUAUGUGGGGAGAGGGGGAGAGAGAGCGAAAGAGCAAGCGAGUGAGCAAGAACAAGCCCUCUAUCUCAGGAUACUAAUCCUGUUGGAUCAGGGCCACACCCUUAUGAUCUCAUACAAUCUUAAUUACUUUACUACAAAUAUGACUACACCAGAGAUUAGGGUUUCAACAUAUGAGUUUGAGGGGGACACAAACAUUCAGUUUAUAACAGAUGGUAAAUAAAGAGGGAGCAACCAGGGAGGGCAUUUGAAAGAGGUAGUAUCUGACUAGGCUCUUGGAGAAUGGAUUUUAACCAUUAGAGAUUGUAAGGAGGGAUUCCAAGUAGAUGAAACAGCUUGACCAAUGUCAUAACAGGGAGAAAGAAAAGAGUAUGUUCAGUACGCAGAGCAUUCAGCUAAUUCACCUGCGGGAUAUACCUCUAGGAGUGAAUAGUAUUCAGGAAGUUGAGAAAGGGAAGAUGUAACUAGAUUGUUGAAUACCUUGUAAAACAUCCGUUGCUGGUGUCACCACUCAUCUAUCUAGCCAUAUGACCCUUGUGUUUCUUUACUUCUGUUUAUCUCAGCAUCCCCGUGUAUUAGUAGAAAAAAAUCUCUGAAGUUUAUUCUAACUCAGUGAGUCUACACUUAAUAACAAGUAAGUGAUUUAAGUUUAAUGAGUGUUAUGUGUUUGUGUGUGCCUGCAUACUUUCAUAUUUGUGUCUCACACCAGCAGAUGUGCAGUUUCUGCAAAUGUUUGAUAAUAGGUAGAAAAAUCUAUUUUGGCUUUCUAAGUUGGAUUUCAAUUUCUCCCACCCCUCCACGAAUUGGGAACCUUAUUCAGCAUAUUUUAAGCACCCAACCUGGACCUUGCAGGGAGGAUAGAUUAGGCAAAUACAGAAGAUAUAUGGCUUCCCCUGCCUUGUUCCAUACCCUUUUUCUGACUUCACUGGCCCUGUUACUUUCUCCUGCUUUUGACUUGAUUUCCCUCAUAUCUGAUCUUUCUACCCUGUUAUGGAAACUUAAUCCCGAAGCCUUCUUUCAUAUUCAGUUAUAGACAAUUGGGUAAAGGUACCCUCAAGCCUGCAGUAACAUUUGCUUUUUAUUAGGAAGUAGGCCUUAAACUAUACAAAUGAAACAUAAAUAGCAAACUUCUAGAUGUUAAUAAAUAGAGAAGCUAGUAGGUAGGAGGAAGGGGGAUUUUAUGAUGUUCCUAAAAGCCUUAGAAGUGGAGCUUGAAAACCAUUUCCAGUCCCAGAACCAUUUAAUGUAACUUUACAUCUAUUUAUUCUUAGCACUGGACCUGUCUUGGUUAUUUUUAGCCAGACAAUUACUGCUGUUUACUCAUUUUCUAGAAUUCUAGGCAUAAUUAUUGAUUUACCCAUAAAAAUACUUGGAGAACUUUGACCCAGUCCAUAUAAUUUGAUAGAUAAUUCUUCCUCCUUGGAAAUGGUCACUAGGUAAACAGCUUGUCUCUCAUUCUAGAGGUUCAGUCUUAAUGAAUCUUUCCAAAAUAAAUAAGCUCUAGAAUUAAAGUUGAAGAGCUGUUUUCCUCAGAAACAGAGGCAUAUUUCUCCUCAAUAAAUAGAUGUUCUUAUAAUCACCUUACAGUGCUUAGUUUUUUUUUUUCAAUAAUAGAUUGGUCUCCUUCUUUCUCUUCAUACAGUAUUUUUACUUUUUGUACUAUUGGCUCAUCAAGCUUGAUAGGUUAGUCUACUUUUAUCAAAUGCAUAUGCAAGUCAAGAGUUGUUAUUUUAAUAAUAAACCUAAACUAGGAGCUUAGGUGACUCAUCUGAUAAUAUUCGGUAAGUAAGAGGCUCUUCAAGGCCCAACCCUGUAUUUACUUCUUUGUGGCCUCCACUUUGUGUAGGCACCACCUCAGUGAAUCACACUGGCGGGCUGUCACUCAUUCUCAGAAGACCACAACAUCAAAAUAAAACCCUUAGAAAGUAUAGGCGCUGAAGUAACAGUUACAGUUUAAAGGCACCUACGGUUGACUGUAUCAUGAAGGCAACCUACAAUUUGAGUCUUUAUUUGGUCAUUGACAAGAGUCUUAAGUUUUUUAGUCAAAACUUCAGUGAAAUUUAGAAAUUUUGGCCCCAAGAUAUUGAUUUUCUUGUUUAUAUGAAUGCUUUUAAGACUUUGCUGUUUAUGAUAAUUUUUUAGGGGUCUCUGGAAAAGUUGAGUAGACAGAAACUAAGGAAGGAAGAGAUGUACUGUCAAACUGUAAUUCAAUAGUACUGUGAUUUCUGCCUUCAUGUAGUAAGAAGUGGAAAGUAGUAUAAGGAGAUUCGAACCUUCCCGGCCUCUUUGCAGAGAAUCAAGACUAAGACAUGGAACAGUGGAUUUGAAAGCUAUGGCAGCUCCAACUAUGGGGGAGCCAGCGGCUACACACAGUCCCCAUGGGACUUUGGAUCACCCAGACCUUCUCAGGCCGAAAAGAAACCAAGAGCCUCAGCCUAGCACAUUGUACCCUGUACUAUAUCUCAGCUGCUUUCUGCCACUUUGGUUGAUGAAGGGUUCAGAAGUGGGAAUGUUGAGAUUUCACACGUCACUAUUGUGGGGAUCAUCAGACAGGCAGAGAAAGCUCCAACCAGCAUUGUUCACAAAAUAGAUGACAUGACAGCUCCACCCAUAGAUGUUUGCCAUUGGGUUGACACAGAUCACGCCAGCAGUGAAAACACUGUGGUUCCUCCAGAAACAUGUGAAAGUGGCAGGCCACCUGAGAUCUUUUCAGAAUAAAAAGAGCCUGGUAGCCUUUAAGAUCAUGCCCCUGGAGGAUAUGAAUGAGUUCACCGCACGUAUUCUAGAAGUGAUUAAUGCACACAUGAUACUAAGCAAAGCUAAUAGCUAGCCCUCAGCAGGGAGAGCACCUAUCAGCAAUCUAGGAAUGAGUGAAGCAGGGAACUUUGGUGGGAAUAGCUUUAUGUCAGCAAAUGGCCUCACUGUGGCCCAAAACCAGGUGUUGAAUUUGAUUAAGGCUUGUCCAGGACCUGAAGGGUUGAACUUUCAAGAUCUCAAGAACCAGCUGAAACACAUGUCUGUAUCCUCAAUCGAGCAAGCUGUGGCUUUUCUGAGCAAUGAGGGGCCUAUCUAUUCUACUGUGGAUGAUGAUCAUUUUAAAUCCACAGAUGCAGAAUAACUGGAUCUAACUGGAUGCCUGAGAUAUUUUACAGCUGGACCUAGUUUCACAGUCUCUUGUCUGCAGCUCUGCAUAUGUUUGGUCAGGUGGCUUCUAGGAAGUAGGUUUCAUGUAUAAAAGAUCUCUACUGACGUCCUUUUGAAACCUACUGCUCUUCUGUUUUGUUUUGUUUGAACUUCAAAGGGAGAUGAACAAUUGACAGGAAUGCAAUCUAGGGUGGGAUCUCUUGAGGAAGUUACAAAUAAGCUUCUUACAACAUCAAGAUAGAUGGAAUUGGAACGACGCUACCAGGAGAGUACUUACAUAGUGCUCGGGAGUUUCUCUUUUGAAAAUAUUUCCUGCUGAAAGAAGAUGAGCAGAACCACGGCCUUGUAGGCAGAGCCCUAACCAAGUAACCUGCUGGCCUCUGCCUGUUUUUAUUUCCCAGUUUGGUUGUGUGGCAUUACUUUCUGAAUUGCACUUUCCUGCUUGUCAUGACUGCUGCUUGUCGUGACGAUACGUUUCUGUGAACAUGAAGUUAUGUGGUGGUGCCUCCAGGGGCAGAGGAAAGGGAGUGUUACUGCGUUUUGUACAAAAUAAAUACAUUCACAUGUUUAAUAAAACAGUUCUAUUGUAGUAACUUGUUAAAAAAAA